GGAGAAGCAAAGUGAUGAGCAUUACUAGCUGGAUCUCCAAAGAGGCGCGCGCGCGCGCGCGCGUGUGUGUGUGUGUGUGUGUGUGUGUGUUUCCUUGUCUGUGCAUGCACACGUGUGUCUGGGAGUACGAAUGCGUGCGACUGGUUGUAGGGAACUAGUUAUGUGCCUCCUUUUGGACCAUGACAGUUAAACUGAUAAGAUCUGAUUGCUUC
rnacentral:snoRNA from 1 species